ACGUUACCGAAGUCGUUCGAAAUAGGCCAUCAAGCCUUUUGCGGACAGAUAGGAGCCGAAGACUCCGUGCCCUCAUCGUUUUCUGCAUCCCAGCGCCCGAGCGAGAAUUCAUGGACCCCGAAACCGACACGGAACGUGCAGUAUGGGGGACACGAAACCCGUUUCGAGUUUCACCCGCGACCGCACCGAUUUAACGAACAGCCUAAGGCAAACGGCUUGAGAUUGACAACCGAAUUCCGUCGAGUAGGUACGAAAUACAGGAAACCCACGGUCGGCCAAUAAAAUUGUGCCAACAAUGAAGAGGAUAGCAAGAUCGGACGUCGCUGCACAGGGCAGGGAUCCAA
rnacentral:misc_RNA from 1 species